GGAGGUGUCGCCUAGAGGUCGGGCAGCAGGUUGCUAACCUGCGACUCGCAAGAGUCUCGUGGGUUCGAAUCCCACCACCUCCG
rnacentral:tRNA from 1 species